rnacentral:rRNA from 1 species
GUGGGGAAUUUUGGACAAUGGGCGCAAGCCUGAUCCAGCAAUGCCGCGUGCAGGAAGAAGGCCUUCGGGUUGUAAACUGCUUUUGUACGGAACGAAACGGUCCUGGUUAAUACCUGGGGCUAAUGACGGUACCGUAAGAAUAAGCACCGGCUAACUACGUGCCAGCAGCCGCGGUAAUACGUAGGGUGCAAGCGUUAAUCGGAAUUACUGGGCGUAAAGCGUGCGCAGGCGGUUUUGUAAGAUCGAUGUGAAAUCCCCGGGCUCAACCUGGGAACUGCAUUGGUGACUGCAAGGCUGGAGUGCGGCAGAGGGGGAUGGAAUUCCGCGUGUAGCAGUGAAAUGCGUAGAUAUGCGGAGGAACACCGAUGGCGAAGGCAAUCCCCUGGGCCUGCACUGACGCUCAUGCACGAAAGCGUGGGGAGCAAACAGGAUUAGAAACCCGGGUAGUCC